AAUCAAGCGCGAGAAGGGCGUUUGGUGGAUGCCUUGGCAGUAAGAGGCGAUGAAGGACGUGAUACUCUGCGAUAAGCCAUGGGGAGCCGAGAAUAGGCUUUGAUCCAUGGAUCUCCGAAUGGGGCAACCCACCUGAAUGUUUGUUGUUAUUGCCUUCGGGCAGCUAACAGCAGGCAUGACCAGGUACUCAUUAUCUGAAUAUAUAGGGUUUUGAGAGCAAACCCGGGGAACUGAAACAUCUAAGUACCCGGAGGAAAGGACAUCAAUAGAGACUCCGUUAGUAGUGGCGAGCGAACGCGGACCAGCCGAACCUUGAGCGUGACCGGAAACACCUGGAAAGGUGUGCCAGAGCGGGUGACAGCCCCGUACGGGAAGCGUGAUGGGACGUAUCAAGUAGGGCGGGACACGUGUAAUCCUGUCUGAAGAUCGGGGGACCACCCCCGAAGGCUAAGUACUCCUUACUGACCGAUAGCGAACCAGUACCGUGAGGGAAAGGUGAAAAGCACCCCGACGAGGGGAGUGAAACAGUACCUGAAACCGAGCGCCUACAAUCAGUCGGAGCUUGACUGGACUCUUAUGACGAUCUGAGGCCAUUUGGCUCUAUCAUCGAAACCGAAGGGCAGGCAAAACGCCCUCAAGUAACGAAGUGGUAGGGCAGUAAUAAUGGCCGAUGGAACUUUUGCAGCAUUGCUGCUGGUGGCGGGCCUCACCGACAUGGGGCUCAACCAUUGUGGCGUGGAUGGGUGCCUGACCCGCACGAACGACGUCUCCCGCUUGGCCGUCUCGGCCGGGACGGUGGUCGAACGGCGUGCGGACGAGGGCACCGAGGUCUACCUGCGCUACGAUCCAAGCACACGCUUCGGUCCCUUCGGGACCACGCUGGGCCUCUCGGCCGGCGACGGCGUGGGCACCUGGCUCGGGGCGGGCAUGACGUGGGACUGGCAGUUCGGAUAUUCUCCGUACUAUGUCGAGUUGCACGCGAUGCCGGGCUACUACAUGGAAGGCGACGGCUUCGACCUCGGCGGUCCGGUGCAAUUCCGGUCGGGGAUCGAGCUGGGUUACGAGGCGAUGAACGGCUGGCGUUACGCCGUCAGCUACGAUCAUCGCUCCAAUGCCGGCCUUUACGACGACAAUCCGGGCAUCGAGACGGUGCAGUUCCGGGUGUCGGUGCCGCUGCGGUAGGUUCCUGUCUGAUCACCUCCUGGAAUGGAGGGGUGUGGGCUCUCGGUCAUUGCUGGCAAUGACCUGCCGCCCACCUGCCGAUCUUUGCUGCGCGAAGAUCGUCAUAAGUGUCCAGUCUUGUGACGGCGUACCUUUUGUAUAAUGGGUCAUCGACUUGGUCUAUCCAGCAAGCUUAAGCCGUUAGGUGUAGGCGCAGCGAAAGCGAGUCUUAAUAGGGCGAAUGAGUUGGAUGGAUCAGACCCGAAACCGAGUGAUCUAGGCAUGACCAGGAUGAAGGUACGGUAACACGUACUGGAGGUCCGAACCCACACCUGUUGAAAAAGGUCGGGAUGAGUUGUGCCUAGGGGUGAAAGGCCAAUCAAACUCGGAGAUAGCUGGUUCUCCGCGAAAUCUAUUUAGGUAGAGCGUCAUCCGAAUACCCCGGGGGGUAGAGCACUGGAUGGGUAAUGGGGCCCCACAGGCUUACUGAUCCUAACCAAACUCCGAAUACCCGGGAGUACUAGAUGGCAGACACACGGCGGAUGCUAACGUCCGUCGUGGAGAGGGAAACAACCCUGACCUCCAGCUAAGGCCCCCAAUUCAUGGCUAAGUGGGAAAGCAGGUGGGACGACCAAAACAACCAGGAGGUUGGCUUAGAAGCAGCCAUCCUUUAAAGAUAGCGUAACAGCUCACUGGUCUAAACAAGUUGUCCUGCGGCGAAGAUGUAACGGGGCUCAAGCCAUGAGCCGAAGCUGAGGACGCGAGAGCGUGGUAGCGGAGCGUGGUGUGAUAUAGUCUCAUGUCUCCUUCAUGCCUUCGGGCAUAUUGGAGACGCGAGGCUUGCUGAGAAGCCGGACCGUAAGGUUGACCGGUGGAGCGAUCACCAGCGAGAAUGAUGACAUGAGUAGCGACAAGGAGUGUGAGAGACACUCCCGCCGAAAGUCCAAGGGUUCCUGCUUAAAGCUAAUCUGAGCAGGGUAAGCCGGCCCCUAAGGCGAGGCCGAAAGGCGUAGUCGAUGGGAACCAGGUUAAUAUUCCUGGGCCAGGAGAUGGUGACGGAUUGACCGAACCGCAUGUCCCUUAUCGGAUUGGGGCAUGUACGCGGCAGUCCCUGGAAAUAGCCCUCCUUCGGACCGUACCCGAAACCGACACAGGUGGACUGGUAGAGAAUACCAAGGCGCUUGAGAGAACGACGUUGAAGGAACUCGGCAAAAUACCUCCGUAAGUUCGCGAGAAGGAGGCCCGCCCUAUGAUGGGCGGGGGCACAAACCAGGGGGUGGCGACUGUUUACUAAAAACACAGGGCUCUGCGAAGCCGUAAGGCGACGUAUAGGGUCUGACGCCUGCCCGGUGCCUGAAGGUUAAAAGGAGGGGUGCAAGCUCCGAAUUGAAGCCCAGGUAAACGGCGGCCGUAACUAUAACGGUCCUAAGGUAGCGAAAUUCCUUGUCGGGUAAGUUCCGACCUGCACGAAUGGCGUAACGACUUCCCCGCUGUCUCCAACGUCGACUCAGCGAAAUUGAAUUGCCGGUCAAGAUGCCGGCUACCCGCGGUUAGACGGAAAGACCCCGUGCACCUUUACUACAGCUUCAGACUGGCACCAGGCCAGGCAUGUGCAGGAUAGGUGGUAGGCUUUGAAACCAUGACGCCAGUCGUGGUGGAGCCACCCUUGAGAUACCACCCUUGCCUCGCUUGGUGUCUAACCGCGAACCGUCAUCCGGUUCCGGGACCCUCUGUGGCGGGUAGUUUGACUGGGGCGGUCGCCUCCUAAAGCGUAACGGAGGCGCGCGAAGGUUGGCUCAGAGCGGUCGGAAAUCGCUCGUUGAGUGCAAUGGCAGAAGCCAGCCUGACUGCAAGACUGACAAGUCGAGCAGAGUCGAAAGACGGCCAUAGUGAUCCGGUGGUCCCAAGUGGGAGGGCCAUCGCUCAACGGAUAAAAGGUACGCCGGGGAUAACAGGCUGAUACUGCCCAAGAGUCCAUAUCGACGGCAGUGUUUGGCACCUCGAUGUCGGCUCAUCUCAUCCUGGGGCUGGAGCAGGUCCCAAGGGUACGGCUGUUCGCCGUUUAAAGAGGUACGUGAGCUGGGUUUAGAACGUCGUGAGACAGUUCGGUCCCUAUCUGCCGUGGGUGUAGGAGACUUGAGAGGAGUUGACCCUAGUACGAGAGGACCGGGUUGAACGAUCCACUGGUGGACCUGUUGUUGCGCCAGCAGCAGUGCAGGGUAGCUAUGAUCGGACAGGAUAACCGCUGAAGGCAUCUAAGCGGGAAGCCCCCCUCAAAACAAGGUCUCCCCGAGGGCCGUGGUAGACGACCACGUCGAUAGGCUGGAGGUGUAAGCGUGGCAACACGCUCAGCUGACCAGUACUAAUGGCCCGACAGGCUUGGUUCG
rnacentral:rRNA from 1 species